rnacentral:rRNA from 1 species
GACGGAGGAUGCAAGCGUUAUCCGGAAUGAUUGGGCGUAAAGCGUCCGCAGGCGGCCGUUCAAGUCUGCUGUCAAAGACCGGGGCUUAACUUCGGAAAGGCAGUGGAAACUGAACAGCUAGAGUAUGGUAGGGGCAGAGGGAAUUCCUGGUGUAGCGGUGAAAUGCGUAGAGAUCAGGAAGAACAUCGGUGGCGAAGGCGCUCUGCUGGACCAUAACUGACACUCAGGGACGAAAGCGUGGGGAGCGAAUGGG